UACGUAGGGGGCAAGCGUUGUCCGGAAUCAUUGGGCGUAAAGCGCGUGUAGGCGGUUCGGUAAGUCGGCUGUGAAAGUCCAGGGCUCAACCCUGGGAUGCCGGUGGAUACUGUCGGACUAGAGUACGGAAGAGGCGAGUGGAAUUCCUGGUGUAGCGGUGAAAUGCGCAGAUAUCAGGAGGAACACCAAUUGCGAAGGCAGCUCGCUGGGACGUUACUGACGCUAAGACGCGAAAGCGUGGGGAGCAAACGGG
rnacentral:rRNA from 1 species